AUGGCCACCCUCUUCUCCACCGCGUUCUCACACCACUUCAUCCCGCUCCCCUCCGCCACCAGGCCCGCCGCCACCUCCUCCUUCACCUGCGGCCCGCUGCACGCCGUGUCAGCGCUGCUGGCGCCACGGAGGCGACUCCUGCUGCCCGUGGCUGUGGCCGUGUCAUCCGAGUUCGAGACGGAGGACGCGGAGGGGGAGCCGAGCGAGGGCGAGGGCGGAGGCGACUCCAAGGCCGAGUACUCCGAGGACCUCAAGGCCUUUGUCGGCAACCUGCCCUUCACCAUAGACAGCGCGCAGCUCGCCGGGCUCUUCGAGCAGGCCGGCUCCGUCGAGAUGGUCGAGGUUGUAUACAAUAGAAUGACCGGACGGAGCCGUGGAUUUGGAUUCGUCAUAAUGGGUUCAGUGGAGGAAGUUGUUGUCGCCGUCGAGCAAUUCAAUGGCUAUGAUGUCGACACUAUUUACAGUAUGUUAAAUGCAGACAAUGCUGUUGAUUUAUGA
rnacentral:rRNA from 1 species